AUUGCCUUAGUACGGCGAGUGAGCGGCAAAAGCUCAAAUUUGAAAUCUGGCACCUUCGGUGUCCGAGUUGUAAUUUGAAGAAGGUAACUUUGGAGUUGGCUCUUGUCUAUGUUCCUUGGAACAGGACGUCACAGAGGGUGAGAAUCCCGUGCGAUGAGAUGCCCAAUUCUAUGUAAAGUGCUUUCGAAGAGUCGAGUUGUUUGGGAAUGCAGCUCUAAGUGGGUGGUAAAUUCCAUCUAAAGCUAAAUAUUGGCGAGAGACCGAUAGCGAACAAGUACAGUGAUGGAAAGAUGAAAAGAACUUUGAAAAGAGAGUGAAAAAGUACGUGAAAUUGUUGAAAGGGAAGGGCUUGAGAUCAGACUUGGUAUUUUGCGAUCCUUUCCUUCUUGGUUGGGUUCCUCGCAGCUUACUGGGCCAGCAUCGGUUUGGAUGGUAGGAUAAUGGCUAAGGAAUGUGGCUCUACUUCGGUGGAGUGUUAUAGCCUUGGUUGAUACUGCCUGUCUAGACCGAGGACUGCGUCUUUUGACUAGGAUGUUGGCAUAAUGAUCUUAAGCCACCCGUCUUGAAACACGGACCA
rnacentral:rRNA from 1 species